GGCUCGCGGCGUUCUGAAGUAGCGGGCGGGAGGGCGGCGGCGCCUCAGGUGCGGCUUUCUUCUCCUUCUGUGGCACCCUGCUGCGUUCGGGGCAGCUGCUGCCGUGAAAGGGUUAAUUCAAAUCAGAGAAUCGUAGGACCGUUUGAGUUGGAAGGGACCUCGAAGGGCCAUCUGGUCCAGCUCCCCUGCAAUGAACAGGAACACCUACAUCUCCGUCAGGUGCUCAGAGCCCCUCCAGCCUGACCUUGGGUGUCUGCAGGGAUGGGGCAUCCACCGCCUCGCUGGACAACCUGUGCCACUGCCUCACCACGCUUCCUGCAAAAAAUGUUUUCCUUAUAUCCAAUGUAAGCGUCCCCUCUUUUCGUUUGAAGCCAUUUCCCCUUGUCCUGUCACAGCAGACCCUGCUAAAGACUGCCCCCUUCUUUUGCUCCCCUUCAGACACUGAAAGCCGCCCUCAGGUCUCCCCAGAGCCUUCUCCAUGCUGAACAGCCCCAGCUCUCUCAGCCUGUCCUCACAGGAGAGGUGUUCCAUCCCUUGGAUCAUUUUUAUGGCCCUCUUCUGGACACACUCGAGCAGGUCCAUGUCCCUCCUGCGCUGAGGACUCCACAUCUGGACGCAGUACUCCAGCUUACAGAGAACCAGAGGGAGAAGAGAGGCAGCAGAUGAACGGAGCUACAGUAACCUCUAAUCCAUCCCUCAGAUACAGCGACUACACCUAAAAUGCAGGAAGAUCUAAUGGGUCUCCUGAUCCACAGUGCCUGCUACUGAAUAAGAUGUGAGCAUCUGCUGGGAGCUUUCUCUCAUUCAAGCCAAGCUUCUUUCCUCCAAUGCUGACUGUCACACCACUGAUAGAAAAAAAAGUCCCUCCACCAGACAACAGGCCCAGAAGCUGUUAGAGACGCAGGCAUGCAGCACGAUCACACGAACCUUCUGCCCAUAAGAACGAAGCUAUUUCUCCAACUCCUGCCUUCAGCAGCCUGGCUGGCUGGUGUCUGCAUCAAAAGAGAUCGCAGAGUUUCUUAUUGAGUUUUAUAUUGAAAACAAGGGCAGUGCAAGGCUUACUGAAAAAUAACACACUUCAUGUUGAACUCAUGAAAAAUAGGAACUGUUUCCUGACAUAUAUUUGACCUUUAUGUGAACACACAAUUUCGACAUCCUGAAUGUCUGCAGCUGAAGCUUUCCCAGUGGAUUUUCCAGCCUGCUUAGACCUAUACCAAAGCGUAGCUACAGAAAUGUAAUUUGUGCAUAAACAUCCAGCCUAGAUCUAUGUGGGUUCCUAGCUGAUGUUGUUCGUGACUGCCAUACACCAUCAAGAAUAAAUAAGCUCACCUUUCAGAAUGCAGCAAUUACACUUCCAAAUUUUUAUAUAAUACACCUAUAUCAAGACUGAACUGUAAAUUAAGCCAAACAAAGCAGAAAGAAAAAUGAGUAUUUAAGAAACUUCCUUUAAAGCAAAUCGUUUGAUCUCAAUCCAAACAUUCACAAUAGGAGGAAACUGGAGGAUAAUGUGUUUAUAAUGGUAUAAUAGCUCCAAAACCAGAAAGGCAUUCUCCCACUGUAUUAAUAAAGGAUCCUUGAAAAGAUGAAAAAUAAGAAUAGUUCAAAGCCUGUUGGCUAAAUCCACAUUAAGACAAAAGAUUUGGACACACAUGAUGCAUAUUAUUUUGAAUUAUCAAAUAUCCUAUUAAACAUUUCGACUUUUCUGAUAAAUCAAUACUCAAAAUGGUUGGAAGGACGGGUGAGUUCCCUAAUGAUGAAACUUAGAAGUGGAUUUUUGGGGAGAAUUUCCAGCCCUGUUUUUGAAUGCUACUCUAUUUUUAACUCUCCCGUAAUUUUUCCAGCAACCAGCUUCAAAACAAUAGUUAAUAUCAUGCACCUUAACCUCCACUCUUCCCCAUAAACGUUGUCAUACAAAGAUCCCAAUCACACAAAGAAAAUUAAACUCAUUUUAAGAACAGUAGUUUAAGUGAAAAUGGCAUGAUACAUGUGGGUACUGUCUCAGACACAGGGUUUGAAUGUUGGGCGGUCCUUUGUGGAGCCACUCAAUGAUCCUGGUGGGUCCCUUCCAAGCUGGGAUAUUAGAAUCAUAGAAUCACAGAAUCACCAAGGUUGGAAAAGACCCACGGGAUCACCCAGUCCAACCAUCCACCCAUCACCAAUAGUUCUCACUAAACCAUGUCCCUCAACACAGCAUCCAAACGUUCCUUGAACACCUCCAGGGUCGGUGACUCCACCACCUCCCUGGGCAGCCCAUUCCAGAUUUAUUCCAUGAUUCUAUGACACUCGGUGCCUUCUUAUUGGUCUUUACUGUUAGCAUCUGCAUCCAAGAACGGUAUGCUCCCAUGAUGGAACAGUGAAAUCUGGAAUAAGGAAGACUUAACUUUGGUGGAGGAAGAUCAGGGUUACGGAGCAUUCAAACUGAACUUACAUAGGUUCAUGAGACCUGCUGGGAUGCACCCGUUAAGUGCUGAGGGGCUUGAUGACAUUGUGAGGCAACACCUGAUAAUCUCUGAAAGAUCAGUGAUAGAGCAAGUUCCCUGGAAACUGGAAGAAAGCAAAUGUUGCUACUAUAUUAAAAGUCAUGAAGGAGGUUCCAGUAAUCACAGGCUCACCUCUAUUUCUGGGAAGCUGAUGGUGGAAAUUCCCCUGGAAGCCAUUUCUGAAUAUAAGUAGGUCAAUAGCAUUGAUUUACAAAUGAGGGAAUCACGUCUGACCAACCUGAUUGCCUUCAGCAACAAAAUGCUUGGUGGAUGAAGGGAGAGCAGCGGAUGCUGUUUACGUUGAUUUUAUCAAGGCUUCCGAUGUUCAAAGUGAUGAAGUACAGACUAAACAGACAGUAAGGUGGACUGAGAACUGGCUGAACAACCUGCCCAGAGGUUUGUAAUCACUGGCAUGAAGUCUGACUGCAGGGCAGUCCCUAGUGGUGCACUCCAGGGGUUCAAUACUGAGGCCAGUACCAUUUUGUAUCACGACUGCUGGCCUGGACAAAGGGUCAGAAUGCACCACCAGCAAGUUUGCAGAUGACACAAACCUGGAAGGAGUACCUGAGAGACCACAUGGGUGCUCUGCCAGCCAGAGGGACGGAAAGGCUGGAGAAGUGGGCUAAAAGGAAUGUCAUUAAAGUCAACAAAGGAAGCACAAAGUCCUGCCCAGCACAUGCUGAGGGUUACCCAACUGGAAAGGAGAUCUGCACAGAAUGACCUGGGGUGUCCUGGCGGACACCAAACUGAGCAUGAGACAGGAACAUUGCACCCAAAGAGGGCAAACAGCCUCCUGAGCUGUGCUUGGAAGUGUCACCAGUCAGUUCAGGGAGGGGAUUGCUCCCCUCUGCUUAGCACCAGUUGGCAGGUCUAGAGUGCUGAGUCCAGUUCUGGGCUCCCUAGUACAAGAAGGCAUUAAAAUCCUAGAGUAUAUCCAACAAAAGCCCAUGAAGGUGGAUUCAAACAUUUGAAAUGUGAGAGGAAUGGGAGAGCUGGGACUGUUCAGCUUGGAGGAUGCUCAGGGGUUCUCAUCCACUUGUAUAAAUGCCUGAUCAUAAAAUCAUAGAAUGGCCUGGUUGAAAAGGACCACAAUGAUCAUCCAGUUUCAGCCCUCCUGACACAGGCAGGGUCGCCAACCACCAGACCAGGCUGCCCAGAGCCACAUCCAGCCUG